rnacentral:rRNA from 1 species
ACUCCUACGGGAGGCAGCAGUAGGGAAUCUUCCACAAUGGGCGCAAACCUGAUGGAGCAACACCGCGUGAGUGAAGAAGGGUUUCGGCUCGUAAAGCUCUGUUGUUAAAGAAGAACACGUAUGAGAGUAACUGUUCAUACGUUGACGGUAUUUAACCAGAAAGUCACGGCUAACUACGUGCCAGCAGCCGCGGUAAUACGUAGGUGGCAAGCGUUAUCCGGAUUUAUUGGGGCGUAAAGAGAGUGCAGGCGGUUUUCUAAGUCUGAUGUGAAAGCCUUCGGCUUAACCGGAGAAGUGCAUCGGAAACUGGAUAACUUGAGUGCAGAAGAGGGUAGUGGAACUCCAUGUGUAGCGGUGGAAUGCGUAGAUAUAUGGAAGAACACCAGUGGCGAAGGCGGCUACCUGGUCUGCAACUGACGCUGAGACUCGAAAGCAUGGGUAGCGAACAGGAUUAGAUACCCUGGUAGGAUAGCG